rnacentral:rRNA from 1 species
UACGUAGGGGGCAAGCGUUGUCCGGAAUCAUUGGGCGUAAAGAGCGCGUAGGCGGCCCUGUAAGUCCGCUGUGAAAGUCAAGGGCUCAACCCUUGGAUGCCGGUGGAUACUGCAGGGCUAGAGUCCGGAAGAGGCGAGUGGAAUUCCUGGUGUAGCGGUGAAAUGCGCAGAUAUCAGGAGGAACACCAGUGGCGAAGGCGGCACUCUGGGCCGGAACUGACGCUGAGGAGCGAAAGCGUGGGGAGCGAACAGG